rnacentral:misc_RNA from 1 species
UUUCCGUAGGUGAACCUGCGGAAGGAUCAUUAUUGGAUUUUGAAACUUCAGGCUGCUGCUGGCUCUCCUCGGAGGGCAUGUGCACGCUUGUUGUCCAUUAUUUCUCCCACCGUGCACAAAUUGUAGACCUUUCAGUAGGCCUAUGUUGUUUUUCACAAUCUCUGAAUGUAAUAGAAUGGUUUUGAAUCUUGGGAAAUACAAUACAACUUUCAGCAACGGAUCUCUUGGCUCUCGCAUCGAUGAGAACGCAGC